UUGAACGCUGGCGGCAGGCCUCACACAUGCAAGUCGAACGGUAACAGGAAACAGCUUGCUGUUUCGCUGACGAGUGGCGGACGGGUGAGUAAUGUCUGGGAAACUGCCUGAUGGAGGGGGAUAACUACUGGAAACGGUAGCUAAUACCGCAUAACGUCGCAAGACCAAAGAGGGGGACCUUCGGGCCUCUUGCCAUCGGAUGUGCCCAGAUGGGAUUAGCUAGUAGGUGGGGUAACGGCUCACCUAGGCGACGAUCCCUAGCUGGUCUGAGAGGAUGACCAGCCACACUGAAACUGAGACACGGUCCAGACUCCUACGGGAGGCAGCAGUGGGGAAUAUUGCACAAUGGGCGCAAGCCUGAUGCAGCCAUGCCGCGUGUAUGAAGAAGGCCUUCGGGUUGUAAAGUACUUUCAGCGGGGAGGAAGGGAGUAAAGUUAAUACCUUUACUCAUUGACGUUACCCGCAGAAGAAGCACCGGCUAACUCCGUG
rnacentral:rRNA from 1 species